rnacentral:lncRNA from 1 species
UUUAAGAGCACGCCAAUCUACUGUGCAAGCAAGUUAUUAGCGCCGAGCAAACCGUAUGGAGUCCGGUUGGCAACGCGAAACAGCCCCGCGAGCAGGGCUGCAGCGCGGUAACUUAUUGGUAAGCUAAACCAAUAUGUUUGACAAGCGCCGCUAUUGCUGCUUAGCUUUCUUGUUGCAACACGCGGUUGCAUGCCAUGCAAAUGUCAACAGUGCCGCUGAAACCUGAGCGCGAAUACCUUGCGGGCGCUGCCAUAACCCUCUUCAGCAUUGAAAAGAACUUACAGCAUGACACCGGCUGCAAAAUCCACUACAGGGCCAGCCAGCCCAAUGUCCAAGGGGCUCGGGUCGACCGUUGGCCCGCUCCGCCGCCACAGGGGGGCGCCGCGCCGGCCUCGUCGUCCUUCGAAGGGUGAGUGCUAGGGCUCCGCUGGUCAGGCAUCACAGUGUUUGCAAUGCCUAGCAAACGUAUGCACGUUCCAGGUGGACAGUGCGAAGGGGGCAGCAAACUUUGGUAGAACAGGCAGUGGGAGGGGGCCCUCGUGGCCACGGCCAGGACUCCUGCCCCUCCCUGGUCCGCCCCAGCGGCUGGAACGGAGCCUCGUCCUCUCCACGGAUCCUAGACAGCAAAAUACCGCACUGCACGCAUUCAGAAGGGGUCCCAUCCAAACCCUAAAACCCAAAACCCUAAGAGGGGGUUUUGGGGGUUUUGAGGGGUUUGGAAAGUGUGACAUGUCAGAAAUGGUUCGCACAGCAUAAAUAGCAUAAUUAAAGCUAGAAUAAUUGUUGGAACCACGUGUGGGUGACCGUGAUGAGAUUUGGGCACGCAGCAAUGACUUUGCGCAUCCCACUGCUUACUUGCCACAGCACACACAGGCAUGCAGAAGGUAUAGCGCUUCCGUGGUACCACAUACACACACACCACUGGGGCUUCUCACUUGCCAGGUAUACCUGAGUCUUGUACUGUGCUGUGAUGUGGUGCACAUUGGCAUGGCAUGCAUGGUAGACGAGCACAUACCACUCAGUCCCCUUGUCCCGACACAGGGGGGUGCCGCUAUGGGGUGCCUUGCAGCCAUCCACACACACUGCCUGGCACUCUCAGCCCUGUGUGGAACUCUUUCACAUCUUCACAUGUACAUGUUGCCUAACAUGUUUGUGAUGCAACCGUGAGCUGGCAGCCAGUGUGCCAGCCCUUACAGCCCAUCAAGUGGCUCGUCAUUUCAGGAGAACCUCCCCUCCCCCCUAGCGGGUCAGGGCCUGCUGGUAUCAUGCAGGCUGUCAAGUAAUGUGCAGCCAUGCUGAUGACACUUUAUUUGCACCACAUGUGAACGACAGGCUUUGGGAGCGCAAGCGGAAGCAGCCACAGCAAGUUGGCGUGUCGAGUCCAGCCUGCAGACUGCACCAGUGGCGACAAGUCGGCAACCGCUGUACCUCAGCAAGCUCCAGCUCAUGCCAACCAUACAACGGCAGUCGCUAUAUGUCUAUAAGCAAUAGCUGGGCCAAACGGCUGCGUGGCUGGACUGCUGCACUCACUCACGUGGCCCCUGGCACCAGGGUCGCCCUAAGAGGGGGUUUUGGGGGUUUUGAGGGGUUUGGAAAGUGUGACAUGUCAGAAAUGGUUCGCACAGCAUAAAUAGCAUAAUUAAAGCUAGAAUAAUUGUUGGAACCACGUGUGGGUGACCGUGAUGAGAUUUGGGCACGCAGCAAUGACUUUGCGCAUCCCACUGCUUACUUGCCACAGCACACACAGGCAUGCAGAAGGUAUAGCGCUUCCGUGGUACCACAUACACACACACCACUGGGGCUUCUCACUUGCCAGGUAUACCUGAGUCUUGUACUGUGCUGUGAUGUGGUGCACAUUGGCAUGGCAUGCAUGGUAGACGAGCAC